GUUUGCGUAGUGUAGUGGCUAUGACGUCCGCUUUACACGCGGAAGGUCCCCGGUUCGAGCCCGGGCGGAAAUA